GGUAUUUGGAAAGUGAAUUCACACGGGAAUACGGGGAAUUGGAGGUCUGGUAUUUGGAAAGUGUAUUCGCACAGGAAUAUGUGGAAUUGGAGGUCUGGUAUUUGGGAAGUGUAUUCAUACAGGAAUAUGGGGACUAGGAUGUCUGGUGUUUCGAAACUGUAUUCAUAAGGGAAUAUGGGGAAUUGGAGGUCUGGUAUUUGGAAAGGGUAUACAAACGGGAAUGUGGGGAAUUUGAUGACUGGUAUUUGGAAAGUAAAUUCACAUGGGAAUAUGGGGAAUUGGAGGUCUGGUAUUUGGAAAGUGUAUACAAACGGGAAUGUGGGGAAUUUGAUGACUGGUAUUUGGAAAGUAAAUUCACAUGGGAAUAUGGGGAAUUGGAGGUCUGGUAUUUGGAAAGAGAAUUCACACGGAAAUAUGUGGAAUUGGAGGUCUGGUAUUUGGGAAGUGUAUGCAUACAGGAAUAUGGGGAUUAGGAUGUCUGGUGUUUCGAAAGUGUAUUCACACAGGAAUAUGGGGAAUUGGAGGUCUGGUAUUUGGAAGAAUUCACACGGAACUAUGGGGAAUUGCAGGUCUGAUAUUUGGAAAGUUUAU